rnacentral:rRNA from 1 species
GAUGAACGCUGGCGGCGUGCUUAACACAUGCAAGUCGCACGGAAAGGCCCUGCUUUCGUGGGGUGCUCGAGUGGCGACGGGGUGCGUAACACGUGAGUAUCCUGCACUUGCCUUUGGGAUAACUUCAGGCCACUGGGGGUCAUACCGGAUAGGAGUUUCUGCUGCAUGGUGGGGGUUGGAAAGUUUGGGCGGUUGGGGAUGGACUCGCGGCUUAUCAGCUUGUUGGUGGGGUAGUGGCUUACCACGGCUUUGACGGGUAGCCGGCCUGAGAGGGUGACCGGCCACAGUGGGACUGUGAUACGGCCCGGAGUCGUACGGGAGGCAGCAGUGGGGAAGAUAGCAUGAUGGGCGGAAGCCGGAUGCAGCAACGCCGCGUGCGGGAUGGUGACCUUCGGUUUGGAGGCCACAAUGGCCUGUGACGAUGCGUUAUUGAAGGUAAUGGAUAAAGAAGCACCGGCUAACUACGUG